UUGCCUACGGGUGGCUGCAGUAGGGAAUCUUGCGCAAUGGGCGAAAGCCUGACGCAGCCAUGCCGCGUGAAUGAUGAAGGUCUUAGGAUUGUAAAAUUCUUUCACCGGGGACGAUAAUGACGGUACCCGGAGAAGAAGCCCCGGCUAACUUCGUGCCAGCAGCCGCGGUAAUACGAAGGGGGCUAGCGUUGCCCGGAAUUACUGGGCGUAUAGGGAGCGUAGGCGGAUAGUUUAGUCAGAGGUGAAAGCCCAGGGCUCAACCUUGGAAUUGCCUUUGAUACUGGCUAUCUUGAGUAUGGAAGAGGUAUGUGGAACUCCGAGUGUAGAGGUGAAAUUCGUAGAUAUUCGGAAGAACACCAGUGGCGAAGGCGACAUACUGGUCCAUUACUGACGCUGAGGCUCGAAAGCGUGGGGAGCAAACAGGAUUAGAUACCCCAGUAGUC
rnacentral:rRNA from 1 species